GAUUGAACGCUGGCGGCAGGCUUAACACAUGCAAGUCGAACGGUAACAGGAGAAAGCUUGCUUUCUUGCUGACGAGUGGCGGACGGGUGAGUAAUGCUUGGGAAUCUGGCUUAUGGAGGGGGAUAACGACGGGAAACUGUCGCUAAUACCGCGUAGAGUCGGGAGACGAAAGUGCGGGACCGCAAGGCCGCAUGCCAUGAGAUGAGCCCAAGUGGGAUUAGGUAGUUGGUGGGGUAAAGGCCUACCAAGCCUACGAUCUCUAGCUGGUCUGAGAGGAUGACCAGCCACACCGGGACUGAGACACGGCCCGGACUCCUACGGGAGGCAGCAGUGGGGAAUAUUGCGCAAUGGGGGCAACCCUGACGCAGCCAUGCCGCGUGAAUGAAGAAGGCCUUCGGGUUGUAAAGUUCUUUCGGUGACGAGGAAGGCGUGAUGUUUAAUAGGCAUCACGAUUGACGUUAAUCACAGAAGAAGCACCGGCUAACUCCGUGCCAGCAGCCGCGGUAAUACGGAGGGUGCGAGCGUUAAUCGGAAUAACUGGGCGUAAAGGGCACGCAGGCGGCUAUUUAAGUGAGGUGUGAAAUCCCCGGGCUUAACCUGGGAAUUGCAUUUCAGACUGGGUAGCUAGAGUACUUUAGGGAGGGGUAGAAUUCCACGUGUAGCGGUGAAAUGCGUAGAGAUGUGGAGGAAUACCGAAGGCGAAGGCAGCCCCUUGGGAAUGUACUGACGCUCAUGUGCGAAAGCGUGGGGAGCAAACAGGAUUAGAUACCCUGGUAGUCCACGCUGUAAACGCUGUCGAUUUGGGGAUUGGGCUUUAAGCUUGGUGCCCGUAGCUAACGUGAUAAAUCGACCGCCUGGGGAGUACGGCCGCAAGGUUAAAACUCAAAUGAAUUGACGGGGCCCGCACAAGCGGUGGAGCAUGUGUUUAAUUCGAUGCAACGCGAAGAACCUUACCUACUCUGACAUCAUGGAAUCCUGUAGAAGAUACGGGAGUGCUUCGGGAACAUGAAGACAGGUGCUGCAUGGCUGUCGUCAGCCUCGUGUUG
rnacentral:rRNA from 1 species